rnacentral:rRNA from 1 species
CAUGCAGUCGACGAGAUCUUCGGAUCUAGUGGCGCACGGGUGCGUAACGCGUGGGAAUCUGCCCUUGGGUUCGGAAUAACUUCUGGAAACGGAAGCUAAUACCGGAUGAUGACGUAAGUCCAAAGAUUUAUCGCCCAAGGAUGAGCCCGCGUAGGAUUAGCUAGUUGGUGAGGUAAAGGCUCACCAAGGCGACGAUCCUUAGCUGGUCUGAGAGGAUGAUCAGCCACACUGGGACUGAGACACGGCCCAGACUCCUACGGGAGGCAGCAGUAGGGAAUAUUGGACAAUGGGCGAAAGCCUGAUCCAGCAAUGCCGCGUGAGUGAUGAAGGCCUUAGGGUUGUAAAGCUCUUUUACCCGGGAUGAUAAUGACAGUACCGGGAGAAUAAGCUCCGGCUAACUCCGUGCCAGCAGCCGCGGUAAUACGGAGGGAGCUAGCGUUGUUCGGAAUUACUGGGCGUAAAGCGCACGUAGGCGGCUAUUCAAGUCAGAGGUGAAAGCCCGGGGCUCAACCCCGGAACUGCCUUUGAAACUAGAUAGCUUGAAUCCAGGAGAGGUGAGU